rnacentral:misc_RNA from 1 species
CCUGACCUGGGGUCAUUGUCGGGGGCCCGAGGGCUCCGGGGUCUUGGACGCCCCGUCGCCGGUCGCGUCACGGCUUCGAUCGAGUUGAGCGUUUCAACCUCCACUCGUCGUGACGUCCCGGGACGGGGACUCCGUUUUGGGCCGACCGCAUGCUCGAGACACGGGGGGCCAAUGUCCGUCACCCGCCGCAGGGCGCGUGCGAGGGGGGUGGCGACGAUGCGUGACGCCCAGGCAGGCGUGCCCUCGGCCUAAUGGCUUCGGGCGCAACUUGCGUUCAAAAACUCGAUGGUUCACGGGAUUCUGCAAUUCACACCAAGUAUCGCAUUUCGCUACGUUCUUCAUCGAUGCGAGAGCCUAGAUAUCCGUUGCCGAGAGUCGUAUUGGUUAUAUUUCAGACGCGCCGCGUCCUCCCGACGGAAGCCGUGGGAGGGGGACGCGGACGAUCCGUUCGAGUAGUCCUUGACGCGUUCCGCGCCGGGAGUUUUGUUAGGUUCGGUGGACGGCCGAACGUGGUCCGGCCGCGCCCCCGAUUUCGUUGUCAAACGUGUUCGCGGUGGUUCGCAGGAUUCGACAA